CCUACGGGGGGCAGCAGUGGGGAAUAUUGGACAAUGGGCGAAAGCCUGAUCCAGCCAUGCCGCGUGUGUGAAGAAGGCCUUCGGGUUGUAAAGCACUUUCAGUGGGGAAGAAAGCCUUGGGGCUAAUACCCUCGAGGAAGGACAUCACCCACAGAAGAAGCACCGGCUAACUCCGUGCCAGCAGCCGCGGUAAUACGGAGGGUGCGAGCGUUAAUCGGAAUUACUGGGCGUAAAGCGCGCGUAGGCGGUCUGAUAAGCCGGUUGUGAAAGCCCCGGGCUCAACCUGGGAACGGCAUCCGGAACUGUCAGGCUAGAGUGCAGGAGAGGAAGGUAGAAUUCCCGGUGUAGCGGUGAAAUGCGUAGAGAUCGGGAGGAAUACCAGUGGCGAAGGCGGCCUUCUGGACUGACACUGACGCUGAGGUGCGAAAGCGUGGGUAGCAAACAGGAUUAGAUACCCCUUAGUC
rnacentral:rRNA from 1 species